CCCUUAACAAAGAAUGAUCCAGCCCCAAGUGUUGAUAAUGCUGAGGAUGAGAAACCUUGAGUUAGGGAGAUCACUACAUUUUUUGUGUGGCCUUGGUAUUUGUUUUUUUAUAUUUUCCUUAGAGGGCUUUUAAUUCUUUCUCAACUAGAGCCUGGAGCAGACUAAUCUAACCUGAAAGCCAGCAUUUAGAAUCUGUACUUUAAUUACUGACACCACAGUGUAGGGUACCAACCUGGCUUGGCCAAUUUUAUUACUUGUUCUGUCAAGUUC
rnacentral:lncRNA from 1 species